rnacentral:rRNA from 1 species
GGGUGAGUAACGCGUAUCCAACCUGCCCACCACUGGGGGAUAACCUUGCGAAAGUAAGACUAAUACCCAAUGAUAUCUCUAGAAGACAUCUGAAAGAGAUUAAAGAUUUAUCGGUGAUGGAUGGGGAUGCGUCUGAUUAGCUUGUUGGCGGGGUAACGGCCCACCAAGGCAACGAUCAGUAGGGGUUCUGAGAGGAAGGUCCCCCACAUUGGAACUGAGACACGGUCCAAACUCCUACGGGAGGCAGCAGUGAGGAAUAUUGGUCAAUGGACGAGAGUCUGAACCAGCCAAGUAGCGUGCAGGAAGACGGCCCUAUGGGUUGUAAACUGCUUUUAUAAGGGAAUAAAGUUAGUCUCGUGAGACUUUUUGCAUGUACCUUAUGAAUAAGGACCGGCUAAUUCCGUGCCAGCAGCCGCGGUAAUACGGAAGGUCCGGGCGUUAUCCGGAUUUAUUGGGUUUAAAGGGAGCGUAGGCCGGAGAUUAAGCGUGUUGUGAAAUGUAGACGCUCAACGUCUGCACUGCAGCGCGAACUGGUUUCCUUGGGUACGCACAAAGUGGGCGGAAUUCGUGGUGUAGCGGUGAAAUGCUUAGAUAUCACGAAGAACUCCGAUUGCGAAGGCAGCUCACUGGAGCGCAACUGACGCUGAGGCUCGAAAGUGCGGGUAUCGAACAGGAUUAGAUACCCUGGUAGUCCGCACGGUAAACGAUGGAUGCCCGCUGUUGGUCUGAAUAGGUCAGCGGCCAAG